rnacentral:rRNA from 1 species
UGCGGAAGGAUCAUUACCAAGAACCACACAGAAAAGGGAGGCAAAGGGGCCUACAGGGCUAGUAGCUUAUACGUUGUUGAACGUCCUGCCUGGACCCGGAGCCGCCCCCAUCUAAACCCUCUGCGUACCUGUCCCUUCUUGCUUCCCCCGGCAUCUCGUCGGGGGGAGGUAACAACCAAAACUCUCUGUGAAUCAAACAGCCGUCAGAAUUAUAAAACAAACAAAAGUUAAAACUUUCAACAACGGAUCUCUUGGUUCCCACAUCGAUGAAGAACGCAGCGAAAUGCGAUAAGUAAUGUGAAUUGCAGAAUUCAGUGAAUCAUCGAAUCUUUGAACGCACAUUGCGCCCCCUGGUAUUCCGGGGGGCAUGCCUGUUCGAGCGUCAUAAAAACCUCCUCCCCCUUCGGGUUUUGUUACUAUCGUUGGGGGGUUUUGGCCUAAUGGGAUAGCGAUUGGCAAUUCGUUUCCCAAUGUCCUAAAUAGACGUAGACCCGCCUCCAGAUGCGACAGCAUCGAGGCCAUCAACCGUGGAGUUAUGGGAUAUAAUAGGCUUGCAGUAAAAUGCUCACCUCUCUCCACACGCCGAUGGCACGACAGUUGCAGUUGCGGGCGUAAAUUGGAGCCCUUUUCAGGACCCUUGUGGCCUAGCAUCCACCAUACAUAAUUUGACCUCGGAUCAGGUAGGGAUACCCGCUGAACUUAAGCAUAUC